rnacentral:rRNA from 1 species
GAUGAACGCUGGCGGCGUGCCUAAUACAUGCAAGUCGAGCGAACAGACGAGGAGCUUGCUCCUCUGACGUUAGCGGCGGACGGGUGAGUAACACGUGGAUAACCUACCUAUAAGACUGGGAUAACUUCGGGAAACCGGAGCUAAUACCGGAUAAUAUAUUGAACCGCAUGGUUCAAUAGUGAAAGACGGUUUUGCUGUCACUUAUAGAUGGAUCCGCGCCGCAUUAGCUAGUUGGUAAGGUAACAGCUUACCAAGGCAACGAUGCGUAGCCGACCUGAGAGGGUGAUCGGCCACACUGGAACUGAGACACGGUCCAGACUCCUACGGGAGGCAGCAGUAGGGAAUCUUCCGCAAUGGGCGAAAGCCUGACGGAGCAACGCCGCGUGAGUGAUGAAGGUCUUCGGAUCGUAAAACUCUGUUAUUAGGGAAGAACAAAUGUGUAAGUAACUAUGCACGUCUUGACGGUACCUAUCAGAAAGCCACGGCUAACUACGUG